UAGGGAAUAUUGGGCAAUGGGCGAGAGCCUGACCCAGCCAUGCCGCGUGCAGGAAGAAGGCUUUCUGAGUCGUAAACUGCUUUUGACAGGGAAGAAUAAGCGCUACGUGUAGCGUGAUGACGGUACCUGCAGAAUAAGCACCGGCUAACUCCGUGCCAGCAGCCGCGGUAAUACGGAGGGUGCGAGCGUUGUCCGGAUUUAUUGGGUUUAAAGGGUGCGUAGGCGGCCCGUUAAGUCCGGGGUGAAAGCCCGUUGCUCAACAACGGAACUGCCCUGGAAACUGACGGGCUUGAGAACAGACGAGGUUGGCGGAAUGGACCGAGUAGCGGUGAAAUGCAUAGAUACGGUCCAGAACCCCGAUUGCGAAGGCAGCUGACUAGGCUGUUACUGACGCUGAGGCACGACAGCGUGGGGAGCGAACAGG
rnacentral:rRNA from 1 species